UACGUAGGGUGCAAGCGUUGUCCGGAAUUAUUGGGCGUAAAGAGAUCGUAGGCGGUCUGUCGCGUCGGAUGUGAAAACCCAGGGCUCAACCCUGGGCCUGCAUUCGAUACGGGCAGACUAGAGUUCGGUAGGGGAGACUGGAAUUCCUGGUGUAGCGGUGAAAUGCGCAGAUAUCAGGAGGAACACCGGUGGCGAAGGCGGGUCUCUGGGCCGAAACUGACGCUGAGGAGCGAAAGCGUGGGGAGCAAACAGG
rnacentral:rRNA from 1 species